CCUACGGGAGGCUGCAGUGGGGAAUAUUGGGCAAUGGAGGAAACUCUGACCCAGCAACGCCGCGUGAAUGAUGAAGGUCUUCCGAUUGUAAAGUUCUUUUCUCAGGGAAGAAGCACGUGACGGUACCUUAGGACUACGCCUCCGCUAACUACGUGCCCGCAGCCGCGGUAAUCCGGCGGAGGCAAUCGUUCUCCGGACUGACUGGGCGUAAAGGGUGCGUGGGUGGUUUGACAAGUUGGUAGCGUAACUCCGGGGCUCAACCUCGGCACUACUACCAAAACUGGUGGACUUGAGUGCAGGAGGGGCAGAUGGAAUUCCUAGUGUAGCGGUGGAAUGCGUAGAUAGUAGGAGGAACACCAGUGGCGAAGGCGAUUUGCUGGACUGUAACUGACGCUGAGGCACGAAAGCGUGGGGAGCAAACAGGAUUAGAUACCCGUGUAGUC
rnacentral:rRNA from 1 species